GACGAACGCUGGCGGCGUGCUUAACACAUGCAAGUCGAACGGAAAGGCCCUGCUUUUGUGGGUUGCUCGAGUGGCGAACGGGUGAGUAACACGUGAGUAACCUGCCCUUGACUUUGGGAUAACUUCAGGAAAAUGGGGCUAAUACCGGAUAUGAUCUCCUGCUGCAUGGUGGGGGUUGGAAAGUUUCGGCGGUUGGGGAUGGACUCGCGGCUUAUCAGCUUGUUGGUGGGGUAGGGGCUUACCAAGGCUUUGACGGGUAGCCGGCCUGAGAGGGUGACCGGCCACAUUGGGACUGAGAUACGGACCAGACUCCUACGGGAGGCAGCAGUGGGGAAUAUUGCACAAUGGGCGGAAGUCUGAGGCAGAAACGUCGCGUGCGGGAUGACGGCCUUCGGGGUGUAAACCGAUUUCGCCUGUGACGAAGCGGGAGUGACGGUAAUGGGUAAAGAAGCAACGGCUAACUACGUG
rnacentral:rRNA from 1 species